rnacentral:rRNA from 1 species
UUGUGUGAAUACAUAGCACAUUCGAGGUAGACGCAGAGAACUGAAACAUCUAAGUACCUGCAGGAAGAGAAAGAAAAUUCGAUUCCCUGAGUAGCGGCGAGCGAAACGGGAAAAGCCCAAACCAGCAAGCUUGCUUGUUGGGGUUGUAGGACUCCAAUAUGGUAGUUCUUUCAGAUAGUCGAAUGACUUGGAAAAGUCAGUCAAAGAGGGUAAAAACCCCGUAGACGAAAUGUGGAAGACACCUAGGAGGAUCCUGAGUACGGCGGAACACGAGAAAUUCCGUCGGAAUCCGGGAGGACCAUCUCCCAAGGCUAAAUACUCCCUAGUGACCGAUAGUGAACCAGUACCGUGAGGGAAAGGUGAAAAGCACCCCGGAAGGGGAGUGAAAUAGAACCUGAAACCGUGUGCCUACAACAAGUCAAAGCCCGUUAAUGGGUGAUGGCGUGCCUUUUGUAGAAUGAACCGGCGAGUUACGAUUGCAUGCGAGGUUAAGUUGAAGAGACGGAGCCGCAGCGAAAGCGAGUCUGAAUAGGGCGUUUGAGUAUGUAGUCGUAGACCCGAAACCAUGUGAUCUACCCAUGUCCAGGUUGAAGGUGCGGUAAAACGCACUGGAGGACCGAACCCACGUACGUUGAAAAGUGCGGGGAUGAGGUGUGGGUAGCGGAGAAAUUCCAAACGAACUUGGAGAUAGCUGGUUCUCUCCGAAAUAGCUUUAGGGCUAGCCUCGGAAUUGAGAAUGAUGGAGGUAGAGCACUGUUUGGACUAGGGGCCCAUCUCGGGUUACCGAAUUCAGAUAAACUCCGAAUGCCAUUCAUUCAUAUCCGGGAGUCAGACUGUGAGUGAUAAGAUCCAUAGUCGAAAGGGAAACAGCCCAGACCACCAGCUA